GGGAGGAGUUAAGAAGAAUGAACUUCAAACCAAGAUGGAAAAGCACCGACUAUAAAACGACGUAGUUUUGAUCGAGCAUUCGUUAUAAACUGACGUGGAAUUUGUUAGAGAGGCAUAACACAGGCAAAGCAGAAUAAAACGGUCCAAAUUAAAUUGGAUUUAUAGUAAUCUUUUCUUAAGCCAGAACUAGCCAUCAUUUGUAUUUCAUAGCGUUGUCAUUCCCUCGUUCAACAUUAAUCAAAUAACACUGCCUCGAGUUUUUUGUCGUAGUCCGGGCGAAGUUAUUCUAGUGGUAGAAUGUAUGUUUGAUUAUUUAGAAGUUUCAGGUUUAAAUUUAAUAUACCCUACGAAAUGGACACCAAUUUAUUCCU
rnacentral:lncRNA from 1 species